CGAACGCUGGCGGCAUGCCUAAUACAUGCAAGUCGAACGCCUGGAGCAAUCCAGGAGUGGCGGACGGGUGAGUAACACGUGGGAAUCUGCCCAACGGUGUGGAACAACCGAGGGAAACUUCGGCUAAUACCGCAUACGCCCUUACGGGGAAAGAUUUAUCGCCGUUGGAGGAGCCCGCGUCCGAUUAGCUAGUUGGCGGGGUAACGGCCCACCAAGGCGACGAUCGGUAACUGGUCUGAGAGGACGACCAGUCACACUGGGACUGAGACACGGCCCAGACUCCUACGGGAGGCAGCAGUAGGGAAUAUUGGACAAUGGGGGAAACCCUGAUCCAGCAAUGCCGCGUGAGUGAUGAAGGCCUUAGGGUUGUAAAGCUCUUUCGCCCACGACGAUGAUGACGGUAGUGGGAGAAGAAGCCCCGGCUAACUUCGU
rnacentral:rRNA from 1 species